rnacentral:tRNA from 1 species
GAUUCCGUAGUGUAGUGGUUAUCACUUGUGCCUAAGACGCACAAGGUCCCCGGUUCGAGCCCGGGCAGAAUCA